rnacentral:rRNA from 1 species
ACCUCGAAUCAGGUAGGACUACCCGCUGAACUUAAGCAUAUCAAUAAGCGGAGGAAAAGAAACCAACAGGGAUUGCCCUAGUAACGGCGAGUGAAGCGGCAACAGCUCAAAUUUGAAAUCUGGCCUUCGGGUCCGAGUUGUAAUUUGUAGAGGAUGCUUUUGGUGAGGUGCCUUCCGAGUUCCCUGGAACGGGACGCCAUAGAGGGUGAGAGCCCCGUCUGGUUGGACACCGAUCCUCUGUAAAGCUCCUUCAACGAGUCGAGUAGUUUGGGAAUGCUGCUCUAAAUGGGAGGUAUAUGUCUUCUAAAGCUAAAUAUUGGCCAGAGACCGAUAGCGCACAAGUAGAGUGAUCGAAAGAUGAAAAGCACUUUGAAAAGAGAGUUAAAAAGUACGUGAAAUUGUUGAAAGGGAAGCGCUCAUGACCAGACUUGGGCUUGGUUGAUCAUCCAGGGUUCUCCCUGGUGCACUCUUCCAGUUCAGGCCAGCAUCAGUUCGCUGCGGGGGAUAAAGGCUUUGGGAAUGUGGCUCCUUCGGGAGUGUUAUAGCCCAUUGUGUAAUACCCUGUGGUGGACUGAGGACCGCGCUU